CCCAAACAGAUUCUAGUCUUCCUAUGCUGUUAAACACACACUGAGAAUUUUCCUGGACAACACUGAUAGCUCAGAGGACACUGGUCAUUGGAUUUUAAGUAUCCUUUUCUUCCCUUUUUGGAUCUUCUAGGAAUACCUGAACAGUAUUUUGCAACAUGCAAAAGAUUUUAAGGAAUAUCAUCGGUCUGUGGCCGGGAAGAUCCAGAAGCUCUCCAAAGCAGUGGCAACUUGGCAUGCCAACACUGAAAGAGAGCAGAAGAAGGAGACAGAGCGGAUUGAAAAGGAGAGAAUGCGGCGACUGAUGGCUGAAGAUGAGGAGGGUUAUAGAAAACUGAUUGAUCAAAAGAAAGACAGGCGUUUAGCUUACCUUUUGCAGCAGACCGAUGAGUAUGUAGCCAAUCUGACCAAUCUGGUUUGGGAGCACAAGCAAGCCCAGGCAGCCAAAGAGAAGAAGAAGAGAAGGAGGAGGAAGAAGGUGCGUAUCCUAGUGGUGGUGG
rnacentral:sRNA from 1 species